rnacentral:rRNA from 1 species
GACGAACGCUGGCGGCGUGCUUAACACAUGCCAGUCGAACGGAAGGGCCCUGCUUUUGUGGGGUGCUCGAGUGGCGAACGGGUGAGUAACACGUGAGUAACCUGCCCUUGACUUUGGGAUAACUUCAGGAAACUGGGGCUAAUACCGGAUAGGAGCUCCUGCUGCAUGGGGGGGGUUGGAAAGUUUCGGCGGUUGGGGAUGGACUCGCGGCUUAUCAGCUUGUUGGUGGGGUAGUGGCUUACCAAGGCUUUGACGGGUAGCCGGCCUGAGAGGGUGACCGGCCACAUUGGGCCUGAGAUACGGCCCAGACUCCUACGGGCGGCAGCAGUGGGGAAUAUUGCACAAUGGGCGGAAGCCUGAUGCAGCAACGCCGCGUGCGGGAUGACGGCCUUCGGGUUGUAAACCGCUUUCGCCUGUGACGAAGCGUGAGUGACGGUAAUGGGUAAAGAAGCACCGGCUAACUACGUG